GAGGGGAUAGCUCAGUGGUAGGGCGCAUGCUUAGCAUGCACAAAGGUCCUGGGGUCAGUCCCCUGUCCCUCCA
rnacentral:tRNA from 1 species